AAGUUGGAAUUGCCGAGGAAUGGG
rnacentral:sRNA from 1 species